UACGUAGGGCGCAAGCGUUAUCCGGAAUUAUUGGGCGUAAAGAGCUCGUAGGCGGUUUGUCGCGUCUGCCGUGAAAGUCCGGGGCUCAACUCCGGAUCUGCGGUGGGUACGGGCAGACUAGAGUGAUGUAGGGGAGACUGGAAUUCCUGGUGUAGCGGUGAAAUGCGUAGAGAUCGGUAGGAACACCAGUGGCGAAGGCGGUCUCCUGGGGCAUUCUUGACGCUGAGACGCGAAAGCUGGGGGAGCGAACGGG
rnacentral:rRNA from 1 species